GUGGGGAAUAUUGCACAAUGGGGGAAACCCUGAUGCAGCAACGCCGCGUGAGUGAAGAAGUAUUUCGGUAUGUAAAGCUCUAUCAGCAGGAAAGAAAAUGACGGUACCUGACUAAGAAGCCCCGGCUAACUACGUGCCAGCAGCCGCGGUAAUACGUAGGGGGCAAGCGUUAUCCGGAUUUACUGGGUGUAAAGGGAGCGUAGACGGUUUUGCAAGUCUGAAGUGAAAGCCCGGGGCUUAACCCCGGGACUGCUUUGGAAACUGUAGAACUAGAGUGCAGGAGAGGUAAGUGGAAUUCCUAGUGUAGCGGUGAAAUGCGUAGAUAUUAGGAGGAACACCAGUGGCGAAGGCGGCUUACUGGACUGUAACUGACGUUGAGGCUCGAAAGCGUGGGGAGCAAACAGGAUUAGAAACCCCAGUAGUCC
rnacentral:rRNA from 1 species